CCGGAAGAGACAGAGUGGCAAACUGAUAAACAGUGCGACAACCUGAGACCUUGACAGGGGUGGGCCUAUAAUCGGAACAACAGACACACACCUUCAACACUGUAAUCUGGAGCAAAGAAAUGAAUAUUAUUACUCAGGUCAAACUGACAACAGGCCCAAAGGUCUCUCAGCCAACAGAAACACAUCCUAUAAUCCAGUCCAUAACUAACAAUGACCUGAAGAAGGUCAAGAAAUUGCAGAAGGACAAUAAUGUUAACAGAGUUUACCCCUGUAGAGAGUGGGGUGAUUAUAUAACCCCACUGAUUGCUGCUGUUGCAAAUCACAAUAAAGAAAUAUGUUCUUACCUUUUGCGUCAGGGUGCAGACCCAAAUAUGCCUUCUCAACAUCUCUGGACACCUUUGCAUUAUGUCUCAAUGUCCAAAGCACCUCUUUAUUUUGCGGAUCUAUUGCUUGAGGCAAAAGCUAAUCCAGAUGGAUGGAGUCCUCCUCCAGUGCAACAGAUAUUCACACCACUGCAAGUUGCAGCCAUUGAAGACAGGGAGGAUAUCAUGAAAAGGCUCAUCUCUGCUGGUGCAGUGGUGGCACUGCCACCCAGGAAUGAUCCUCAGUGGCUUAUUAACAGUAAAAAAAUAUCUCAGAUGAUUAAUCGCCUUGCAUCAGAUGGAGAUAGAGUGUGUUCCCAAAUCAGACAUUUUUUGGAUAUGGAAAUUGCUGUUUUUGAAAAAACACCUGAAGAUGUGUUCAGAAAUUUUGACAGUCACAUGUUGUCAGAGGAUCCUAGGUCUCAUUUGACCAUGAUUGAAAUCCUCUUUACUGUAACUGGGAUAGGGAAAGAUAAAUACUGCCAGGCUUGCAUUAAAUGGCUAAAGGAAACUGGAAAUGUGAAUAUUUACAUUGCAGGUGCAGCCAGUCGCUUUUCAAAUAUUCCUAAGACACAUGCAGGGAGGGCAGUUGAAAGUUUGAAUGCAGUUUUCUGCACAAUGGAUGAAAUAUCAAAUGAGCAUGCAGUAGCUAUAAUUCCACAACUACUGAAACUGCUUUCCUUAAAAGAGAGACCUGACAUCUGUGAAUCAGUGCUACAAACACUGUAUGUGAUAACACAGAAAACAAAAGGCACAAAGGACUGGCACGUCAACUUUUUAGAGAACUUAUGCAAAACAGUUGCCCCUUUUGUAAAUGAGCAACACUCCACUAACAUCAGGGUGUACACAUACGGUAUACUUGGAAACCUGCUGUCAGUUGAACAGGCAGCUAAUAUUUUUACAUCAGUGGGCAUAACCUCCUUACCCGAGGACAUACUGACAUCAGCUGACAUGAAAAUGAAUGAAAAGCUGAAAGAAGUGCUGAGAAGUCUGAAAACUUAUCUGAGCAAACCAAACUCUGAAUGUGAGGGAAACACAGCAUCAUCUGUGGCCAAGAAGAAAAAGAAAAGGAAGAAGAAAAAGACAGAAAAGCAAGAAAACCCAAACGAUGAUGUUUCGACAGCAGCAACUGAUCCAAUAACUAAAGUUCCUGUUGUAGAAUCAACUUCAGAUGUAAAGCCUUGUGACCACAACACCAAUGAAAAAACAGAAAAACUAAAAUGGCUUCCAGUCAGCAAGAGGUGGAAGGAGAAACUGGAGAUGCUUGCUGGCACAGACGAAAGUAAAAUAUCCAGAAUCAGAAGCAUUAUUUAUGUGAAUGAUGCAGAAUUCAGAAUAGCGAAGGGAAGCGAUGGCACUGAAGUCUUCUUGGGGCUGAGAGAGGACGGCACAGAAGUUGCCAUCAAGAGAAUGUCUAAAAGCAACUAUGAAGAGCUGAAGAACGAAGAAGUAAUUCUACGACAUCCAGAACUCGAUCAUCCUUAUAUCGUACGAUAUGUUGAUGCUGCAGAGGACGAGAACUUUGGAUAUCUUUGUCUGCAACUUUGUGAAUACACCUUGGAAGAACAUAUCAAGAAAGAACAUGACCCACAGAUGUUAAAGAAACUUGUCAAACAAGUUCUUGAAAGUCUAAAGGUGCUUCACUGUCAAAAUCCUAAAAUUCUUCACCGAGAUCUCAAACCCCAGAAUGUUUUGAUUGAUGUUACUGGGAGGGCAAGAUUAGCUGAUUUUGGCAUAAGCAGACGCUUACUCAAAGGCCAAACAACUUUACGUACACGCAGUGCAGGAACCAAAUGCUGGAUGGCCCGAGAGACUUUAGCAGAAGAAGAAUCUGUCAUAUCAUACAAGUCAAGCACUGACAUCCAGGUGGCAGGCAUGCUGAUCUAUUAUAUCCUCUCUGGAGGGAACCAUCCAUUUGGCAAAUCCUUUGAAUGUGAGUUCAACAUUCACAAAGGGAACUACAGUUUGGAUCAUGUUCAAGAUGUGGUGGCAAAGGAUCUCAUCGAGUGGAUGAUCAACAAAGAGCCAAAGGACAGACCCAAAGUAGAAGAAUGCUUAAACCAUCCCUUCUUCUGGACGUCUGAAAACAUAAUUUGAAAUUUCCAGGAAAACUGAAUACCUGAGAAAGAUCGGUAACAGGGGCGAGGUUGCAAACCACCUUAAGGCUGACCAGGAGCUGAUUGUUUCUCUAGAAAAAUGUGCUGUGGACGAAUCCUUUAAACAGUGGAAAAAUAAGUUUCCACAAGAGCUGGUUCAGGCGAUGGAUGGCAGAAAGCCGUACCCUGAAAACAUGCUGGCAUUACUGCGCUUUAUACGCAAUCUCCAUGAGCAUUAUGCCAAGGAAGCAGCCCAAAUUGAUGUUCUGGCAUUCUUUCCUGAUCUCUUUGGGUGUGUUUACACAUUUGCAAAGAACCAAGGCUGGAAUUCAGAGACACCGUUGAGGGAAAUGUUUCAAAGAGAAGACAGCGAGGAUAUUAGCACAGUUUUGAUGAUGCCAUCUAAAAGUGCGGAGGAGUCCCUGGGUGUCCCUGUUCAAGAGUCUCAACCCAGUGAAGUGAAAGUUGUCAGCAGCCAUAAAAAAUAAAAUAAUAACUGCUAGUAGUAGCAGAGAUGUCAUGUAGGUGUACCUCCUGCUGCUCUGUUAUUUCCCAAAGGAUCACCACAGAAGACACUGAUCUGCUGUGGUGAUCCACAUGUUAGCACAUAGUUGUCCUUCCUUACACAACACUCCAUUUUACCAGCAGUAACAUUGCAGUAUCUUCAAGCUAGGUCUGCUCCUUAAUGGAGCCACUACCAAGACCCUCAGACUGAACCAGCUAAAUGAAUUUUAGACACAAUGUAUGAUUUAUACUUGUGUGAAAUAAGUGCCUGAUGUUUUGAAAAAGUAACUAUUGAUUUUUAAAAGUCUGAGAGAAAUAGAUUAGAAUUACAAUUGUUUGAGUCUCUUUACUCUAUUAUUUUAUUUUUCUUAUUUUUGCGAGGGUGUGUACUGUAUUUAUACACAAUUACGCUGCUUUUGUUUUUCUGUUUUUUUGUGGUUGUAGUUGCUUAUUGCUACAUUUAUUUGUACUCAAUUUUUUUUCUACAGUAGUACAACAUUAUAUUUUUAUUCAGUUAAUCUUCAGGUUUAAUUCUACAUUAUAUGGGGGGGUAUGAGGAACAGAAAUAGAGACAUUUUGUUGACGUCUUCAACAAAUACAAAAGUUAAAAAAAAUAUCUGUUUUUUUUUUCACAAUUAUAGUUUUAAAGACUUCCAUUUCUGAUCGUGGCCUUUAUGCCGUCAUUGUAAAAGAAGAUUUGUAUCUAUGCCCAUUAGACCUUCUCCAGUAUUUGUUUCAUAAUUAAUUCUAACAUCUAUCAUGUAAGAUUUCAUACAGAUUUAGUGUAUUGGUCACAUUUUAAGGGGAUUAUUACUUUCUUUAAUAUUGUAUUAUAAUGCUGAUUUCCCCCCUCCCCAUUUUUUUCUGUUUCUUUCACAUCAGUUGACAGAGUUUUUAUUCAGAUUCAGAAGACUUUAUUUAUCCCCGAGGGGCAAUUCAGUUACCACCAUUGAAAUUAUUUCUUCUUGACUUUAGGAACUGUUGAAUAUCAACUCCUUCAUAGUUUUCUUAAAUUAGAAAUAUUUCUCAGUCACCUUACAAUCAUGGGAUCUCAGGCAACAGGCACAUUAUAUAAGUACUACUUCAAUUCUCCAGAAAAUAUGGCUGGCAUUCAUGAAAGUGAUAAAAAAGUGAAAUAUGAUUUAAUCUAUUUGGAUUUAUCUUUUUAAGUUAAAUAUUUCUGUUCUAAUAGUUUUGUGGAUACAAAAUAAUAUGACAGGACUUGAAGGAAAGUAACACAUUUACUCUCAUUUGUGGCGACUGAGGAUGGAUCAGAUGAGUUUGCCACCUACCUUGUGUCCUCAUACCUGGUGGUAAUGGACAGCAUGUUGCCUUAUCAGCACUGGGGUCUUUUGUUUGAUGGUUCCACAGUGCCUCCCUCUGGCCGUGAUGA